rnacentral:snRNA from 1 species
UUCUUUGUAAUUUCUCUCGAACAUU